rnacentral:rRNA from 1 species
AGUAGCUGGUUCCCUCCGAAGUUUCCCUCAGGAUAGCUGGUGCAUUAUAAUAUUAUGUUAAAUAAUCUUAUCUGGUAAAGCGAAUGAUUAGAGGCCUUAGGGUCGAAACGACCUUAACCUAUUCUCAAACUUUAAAUGGGUAAGAACCUCACCUUUCUUGAUAUGAAGGUUGAGGUUAUGAUAUAAUGUGCCCAGUGGGCUAAUUUUGGUAAGCAGAACUAGCGCUGUGGGAUGAACCAAACGUAAUGUUACGGUGCCUAAAUUAAUAACUCAUGCAGAUACCAUGAAAGGCGUUGGUUGCUUAAAACAGCAGGACGGUGGACAUGGAAGUCGUAAUCCGCUAAGGAGUGUGUAACAACUCACCUGCCGAAGCAACUAGCCCUUAAAAUGGAUGGCGCUUAAGUUGUAUACCUAUACAUUACCGCUAAAGUAGAUGAUUUAUAAUACAAUUUCGAUUGAAUUAUAAAUUUUGAAACUUUAGUGAGUAGGAGGGUACAAUGGUGUGCUUAGAAGUGUUUGGCGUAAGCCUGCAUGGAGCCGCUAUUGGUACAGAUCUUGGUGGUAGUAGCAAAUAAUCGAAUGAGACCUUGGAGGACUGAAGUGGAGAAGGGUUUCGUGUGAACAGUGGUUGAUCACGAGUUAGUCGGUCCUAAGUUCAAGGCGAAAGCCGAAAAUUUUCAAGUUUUAAUGC